rnacentral:rRNA from 1 species
AGUGAACGCUGGCGGUAGGCCUAACACAUGCAAGUCGAACGGCAGCACAGUAAGAGCUUGCUCUUACGGGUGGCGAGUGGCAGACGGGUGAGGAAUACAUCGGAAUCUACUUUUUCGUGGGGGAUAACGUAGGGAAACUUACGCUAAUACCGCAUACGACCUACGGGUGAAAGCAGGGGAUCUUCGGACCUUGCGCGAUUGAAUGAGCCGAUGUCGGAUUAGCUAGUUGGCGGGGUAAAGGCCCACCAAGGCGACGAUCCGUAGCUGGUCUGAGAGGAUGAUCAGCCACACUGGAACUGAGACACGGUCCAGACUCCUACGGGAGGCAGCAGUGGGGAAUAUUGGACAAUGGGCGCAAGCCUGAUCCAGCCAUACCGCGUGUGUGAAGAAGGCCUUCGGGUUGUAAAGCCCUUUUGUUGGGAAAGAAAAGCAGCAGGUUAAUACCCCGCUGUUCUGACGGUACCCAAAGAAUAAGCACCGGCUAACUUCGUG